rnacentral:rRNA from 1 species
GGACUACCAGGGUUUCUAAUCCCGUUCGCUCCCCAUGCUGUCGUGUCUGAGCGUCAGGGGCGAGCCAGGAGGCCGCCUUCGCCUCUGGGGUUCCUCCGGAUCUCUACGCAUUUCACCACUACACCCGGAAUUCCACCUCCCUCUCUCGCCCUCUAGCCCUGCAGUCUGGCAUAACCUCCCCCGGUUGAGCCGGAAGAUUUCAUACACCACUUGUAGGGCAGCCUGCACACGCUUUACGCCCAGUAAAUCCGGAUAACGCUUGCCACCUACGUUUUACCGCGGCGGCUGGCAC